rnacentral:rRNA from 1 species
CCUACGGGGUGCUGCAGUAGGGAAUAUUGCUCAAUGGGGGAAACCCUGAAGCAGCAACGCAGCGUGGAGGAUGAAGGUUUUAGGAUUGUAAACUCCUUUUGUUAGAGAAGAUAAUGACGGUAUCUAACGAAUAAUCACCGGCUAACUUCGGUCCAGCAGCCGCGGUAAUACGGAGGGUGCAAGCGUUACUCGGAAUCACUGGGCGUAAAGAGCGCGUAGGCGGGAUAGCAAGUCAGAUGUGAAAUCCUAUGGCUUAACCAUAGAACUGCAGUUGAAACUGGUAUGCUAGAGUAUGGGCGAGGUAGGUGGAAUUCGUGGUGUAGGGGUAAAAUGCUUAGAGAUCAAGAGGAAUACUCAUUGCGAAGGCGACCUGCUAGAACGUAACUGACGCUGAUGCGCGAAAGCGUGGGGAGCGAACAGGAUUAGAUACCCCGGUAGUC